AUGGAUGCACAGGCCAUGUGGGAUUCUACUUUGAAUAGUCCACAGCAAAUACAUAAUCUUCAACUCAAUCAAUUUUCAGAGAAAAAGAAGAAAACCUCACUGAGAAAUCACCAUUCAGAAUGCCAGAUUCAAACCAGCUCCUCACUUUUAUGUUACAUCAAACUCUUUAUAAAAAUUUGAGUCUGAAGGCAAUUUCCUUCAAGAAGCAGCACAGUGUGGUGAGCAAAAUAAGGCCCGACCCAAAGAUGACCAUGUCCUAGUCCCUAAAACCAGUGGUGUGGUAUCUUACAUGGCCAACGGGAUUCUGCCAAAGCAGUUAAAUUAAGGACAUUGAUAUAGGGAGAUUAUUCUGGAUUAUCCGCCUAUCGCUAAUCAUUUGAGAAGGAAGAUGUCACCACAGAAGAAUAGUCAGAGAAAUGAAUAUUUCUGGUGAAGAAGGGGGUCCACGAGCCAAGAAACGUGGGUGGCCUCUAGCAGCUGGGAAAAGCAAGGAAAGGAACUUCCACUAAAACCCCCCAGAAGGGAAUGCAGCCCUGCUGACACCUCCAUCUUAACCCAGUGAGACCUGGAUCAGACUUCUGACCCACAGAACUACAAAAGGAUAAAUCCACACUAUUUGAAGCCACAAAGUUUGCAGUAAUUUGUUACAGCAGAAGUAGAAAACAAAUAUAGUAUAUGAAUUGUAAAGCACAGAAUUUCCAAGCUUACGUUUAAAAAACAGCAAAACAGAAUUAAGAAAUAUCUGUCUCAAUUUUUCAAGAGGAUGGCCUAUGAUAUCACAUAUAAAACGUGAGAUAAAAACAAUCUUGUGGAAAGCAAUAUCUAAAGAAAUUUAAAUAUCUGAGGAAAAGCAGCCCAGAUGCCAAUCUCCUCUUUAGAUGGAGAGCCUAGUGAAAGUGUUUUACUUUGAAAAACCUGCUUGAAUUUCAUUUGAUGGUUCAGAUGUUACAUUUGUCCAUGUCAGUCCCUGCAUAAAAGUCCCCAAAGUGUCCCUGUUUUACAUGGACUUAAAUGCAAACCUCAUACCACGGGCUAUCAGGCCCUAUGUGAUCUGACCCCCUAUGAUCACAUUUUCUAGUCCUCUCCCACUUCUCACCUAGCCUCAGUCACACUGGCCUUUUUCUUGAUCUUUAAACAUGCAAAUCUUAUUCCCACCUCACCCUAGAGCACUUUGUACUACUGAUUCUUCUUUUGAAAUAUGUGGGCAAGCAUUGCUUAGGGACCAGAACUAAAGACCCAACACUCUCCAGAAAGAAACCUGCAUAAUAUCAGAACCAUCUUGGGCACCAUCAAAAGUAUGCAGAUCCCAGAAGCCCAACCCAACCUGCUGAAGUGACUCUGUAUGUGUCCCAGAAUCAUAUUCUUAAAUAUGCAGAUAAUAAGUAUCACCACCCUGUUGAGAUAGAGGUGGUAUGAGACACUUUGAGUUGGCCCAGCAAAAACAACUGCAUUUGAGGUUGGUGUGCUGUUUUUUCACCUAUCAGCUAAGAGUAAGUAAUCUCGAUGGUUAGAUUUAGUAUUUUGGAGAACCCAAUAGUAUGGUCUAGUGGUUAGGAGCACAGUUAACCUAGGUACAUAGUCCUAGCUCUGCCACUCACAAUUGGGCCAAGUCCCUUAACUCCCCAGGGCCUCAGUAUCCUCAACUAUAAACUGGCAAGGUGUAAUAUAACAAGGCUAUCUCAAAGAUUUGUGAGGAUUAAAUUAUUGAAUAAACAUAAAGUACUUAGAAUUGUACUUGCAUACUAAAUGUUGACCAUGAUUUGUCAGGGCCAUCCUGUUGUUGAGACAUGAUCUACUUUUCAUGGAGUUUUCCUAGGGUUUGAAAAUUUCUUCCUUAAUGUCUUAACCUACGUAUUUUUCAUCUUUCAAAGCUAUCUCAUGAAAUAAAAUGAAAAUAGCUAUGCUCUUCCCAUUGUCUUCCAAACAGCUUAAUCAAUGGUAUUAGGCAUACAGGCCACAGAAUCUUUACAACUGUAUAAAAUGGUUACUGUUUCCGUGCUGAUAUGUACUGGAUUAUCUAAAGCCGCACAAAAAUAAAAUAUCAAUAAAAAUUUCCUUUUUUAUUCUCCCAGGAUCCCUGCUGACUUCUCCUCUCCUCUGGUGGCUAAACUAAAAGGGCAGAGAUUACUGCAAAAGCUGCAGUCUACAAAACAAAACAACAACCAAAAAACACUAUUCUGGAAUAUCUAAAUUCAAAUGGGAUUUUACCACCGCCUGUCCAGUCUUAAAUCCAUUAAGGAUGUGAAUAAGUUAGCACUAAUACUUUGGCCUUGUCAAACUCAAGAGAGAUAAAAAGUUGUUUGAGCCUAGAGAAAUUCAAGAAGGGAAGUGUUUGUCCUCACCCAUAGAGGAUAGCAAUCAACUAACCUAGCCAUUAAGACGAAGGGUAGGAGUUCGCUAAGGGAUAGAACCUGCAGGUCUGUCUUUUGGUGCUGGGCACUAAGAGAAUAGAAUCCUAAAGAAAUGGCAGGGUAUUACAAAUAGACAGAAAAUGUAAGGACAGAAAGGACCCCUGCACUGGCUGCGUCUGACAUCUCUCCUUCCAUUUCAGAUGUAGAAAGUUUCUAGCAGUUUUUUUGUGGCCAGAGAAUCCUCUUUAAAUGGUAAUUGGGAGCAUGAAUAAUACAGGUACUCAGCUUCAUGAGAAGGUAAAAGAAUCAUACAUUGGCUUUGGCAUGGAUCUGCUAGAUGUAUAACUAACAAGGGAGCCAGGUAUCCCACAGUUAACUCGAGUGCCCUAUGAAUAUGAUAACCAGGAGAGUCAUCCUCCAAGGAAUUGGCAAGAUAUGAUCCGUACCAAAAACCAAGCAAGGAGCACCUGGGUGCCUUAGUUGGUUGAGCGUCUGACUCUUGAUUUGGGUUCAGGUCAUGAUAUCAGGGUAGUGAGAUGGAGCCCCACAUAGAGCUCCAUGCUCAGCGGGGAGUCUGAUUGAGAUUCUCUCCCUCUCCUUCUGCCCCUCCCCUCUGCAUUCUCUCUCUCUCCUCUCUCUCUCCCUCCCUCUCUCCAAAAUAAAUAAAUAAAUAAAUCUUUAAAAACAAAAAUAGGGGCACCUGGGUGGCUCAGUCAAUUAAGCAUCUGUCCUCAGCUCAGCUCAGGUCAUGAUCCUGGGAUCGAGCCCUGGGUUGGGCUCCUUGCUCAAUGAGAAGCCUGCUUCUCCUCUGCCUACGACUCCCCCUGCUUGUGCACUGCAGUCCCUCAAAUAAAUGAAUGAAUAAAAAAAAUCUUUAAAAAAAAAAAGUCAGGAUUUGGACAAGUAUGUCCAGCCUGAUUCUCCACUGCAGGUGCCUUACUAUGACAUCAUCAACACUACGGGAGAGCAAGGGAAAGCAGGGAAGCUCAGAAGAGAGAGACCUUUCAACUGAACAGUGCUGGGAAACCAACAGUGACUGAGUAAAUAAUAU
rnacentral:lncRNA from 1 species